GGUGAGGUGUCCGAGUGGUUGAAGGAGCACGCCUGGAAAGCGUGUAUACCCAAAAGGUAUCGAGGGUUCGAAUCCCUCCCUCACCGCCA
rnacentral:tRNA from 1 species